rnacentral:lncRNA from 1 species
AUAUUUAUUUGAACAGGUCAGUGAGGGCAUUAUUGGGAGGCAGAAGGAAAGGUGGGUUUAGUGGGGCUUCUGCUUUGGUUAACAAACCUUAGAUGCGAAUUCUUGUCUGAACACACAACUUCUGGGAGUUCGUUCAGCCUUGGAUAAUUACUCAGUGGGACACAUCUGGUUCUUACGGAGUCAGCACUCCCACCAGCUUCACUGGGACUACUACUGCAGGACUCAGCCCCACAUGAGCUAAACAGAGAAGAGAGAUGAAGCUGUUUUUCUGAGGCAGAGAACAAUCAUUGGCAAAAUAAAUCCACUGACGGAUGGAAAGAAAAUAUUACUGCAUCAUUAUGUCAACCUUUAGGAAACCACUCUAAGAUUUCUUGAGGAGGAGUUCUGCAGAUGAAGUGCUUGCAAGAUCAGAUCUAUUAAAAUCAACUCUCAAAAUACUGAACACACAGAGCUAAAGAAGUACUUGGUUAAGAAGCAGAAUCCAGACCUCAAAAUCCUGGAAGGCAUCUCUCCUUGGCUACAGAAGGAGCUGUUAGCAAACCACUCACUCUGGCUGGAUUUCCUUUUUUAUUUGGAAAUGAAGGACUUACUAGCUUCAUGCCUCAGUGAACAAAGACCUUUCAAGAACAUUUCACUGCUGUUCUCAAACCAAAGAUAUCUGCAAACCGCACAGCUCUCCUAGUGAGUUCUCCCAGUGACAGAUGAAGUUUCAUCAGUAGAAUGGCUAUCAUAGGACUGGGAGCCUGGAGCCAAGGCUGAAUUGUGAGUACCCAAAUCAUGGCUCGACCUUAACUGCUUGUAU